CUCGUUGAGCCUCUACCUUUCGGUUCUCUUGGAACAAGACGGAAGAGAGUCACUCUUACCGUCGUGCAUACCUGAAGCGGGUCUGCCGCCUUCGUUUCUCUUUCUUCAGCGAAUGACUUUGGAUUGCGCUCGCGCGCCGUACCGCAGCCCCUGUUGAUUUAAGAUGGGCGGCUGCUGGCGCUCCGCGAGGGCGCGGCACGAGCCGCGACGGCCGGUCGGCCUUGCGAGGCUCUGCCUCGAUGCCGGCUACCAUCUGCGCUUGGGGCUUAGGGCUUGUAGCUCAGUUGGUUAGAGCGCGCGCUUGAUAAGCGUGAGGUCGGAGGUUCAAGUCCUCCCAGGCCCACCAUCUUCUCGAUCACCGUAUCAGGGAAACAAUCAGGGGCCGUAGCUCAGCUGGGAGAGCGCCUGCUUUGCAAGCAGGAUGUCGUCGGUUCGAUCCCGUCCGGCUCCACCAAUGCGCGAUCCGCAGGA
rnacentral:tRNA from 1 species